AGAGUUUGAUCCUGGCUCAGGAUGAACGCUAGCUACAGGCUUAACACAUGCAAGUCGAGGGGCAGCAUGUUGGUUGCUUGCAACCAACGAUGGCGACCGGCGCACGGGUGAGUAACGCGUAUCCAACCUACCCUUGUCCAUCGGAUAACCCGUCGAAAGGCAGCCUAACACGAUAUGCGGUUCACAGCAGGCAUCUAACGUGAACGAAAUGUGAAGGAGAAGGAUGGGGAUGCGUCUGAUUAGCUUGUUGGCGGGUAACGGCCACCAAGGCUACGAUCAGUAGGGUUCUGAGAGGAAGGUCCCCCANAUUGGAACUGAGACACGGUCCAAACUCCUACGGGAGCA
rnacentral:rRNA from 1 species